rnacentral:rRNA from 1 species
GCAAGUCGAACGGACUAGUUUACUAGUUAGUGGCGAACGGGUGAGGAACACGUAGGUAAUCUACCCUAAACACGAGGAUAACUCCGGGAAACUGGAGCUAAUACUGGAUAGGAUAUAACUGCAAAAGCGGAUAUAUUUAAAGUAGCUUUCGGGCUACGGUAUAGGAAGAACUGCGUCGCAUUAGAUAGUUGGUGAGGGUAACGGCCCACCAAGUCAACGAUGCGUAGCUGGGCUGAGAGGCCGAAC